rnacentral:rRNA from 1 species
AGCUAACGCUGGCGGCAUGCCUAACACAUGCAAGUCGAACGGUAACAGGCCGCAAGGUGCUGACGAGUGGCGAACGGGUGAGUAAUGCAUCGGAACGUGCCCAGUCGUGGGGGAUAACGCAGCGAAAGCUGUGCUAAUACCGCAUACGAUCUAUGGAUGAAAGCGGGGGACCGUAGGGCCUCGCGCGAUUGGAGCGGCCGAUGUCAGAUUAGGUAGUUGGUGGGGUAAAGGCUCACCAAGCCAACGAUCUGUAGCUGGUCUGAGAGGACGACCAGCCAGACUGGGACUGAGACACGGCCCAGACUCCUACGGGAGGCAGCAGUGGGGAAUUUUGGACAAUGGGCGCAAGCCUGAUCCAGCAAUGCCGCGUGCAGGAAGAAGGCCUUCGGGUUGUAAACUGCUUUUGUACGGAACGAAAAGGUUUGGGUUAAUACCCUGGGCCGAUGACGGUACCGUAAGAAUAAGCACCGGCUAACUACGUGCCAGCCGCCGCAGUAA